rnacentral:rRNA from 1 species
AGAGUUUGAUCCUGGCUCAGGGUGAACGCUAGUAGUAUGCUUAACACAUGCGAGUUGAACGAAGAAAAAUUCUUCGUGGCGUACGGGUGAGUAAUACACAGGAAUCUGCCUUUUAGUUCAGGAUAAAAUUCUGAAUAAUCAAAGAAUACUUUUCGCUAAAAGAUGAGCCUGUGGAGGAUUAGGUAGUUGGUAUUUUGGGUAAGAGCCUACCAAGCCUGUGAUCCUUAGCUGUUCUGAGAGGUUGUACAGCCACACUGGGACUGAGACAAGGCCCAGGCUUCAUUUGGAGCCAGCAGUGAGGAAUUUUGGACAAUGAGCGAAAGCUUGAUCCAGCAAUACUACAUGAGUGAUGAAGGCUUUCAAGUUGUAAAACUCUUUGGUUGAGGAGGAUAAUGACAGUACUCAACAAAAUAGCCCCGGCUAACUUCGUGCCAGCAGCCGCGGUAAGACGAAGGGGGCGAGCGUUAUCCGGAAUGACUGGGCGUAAAGGGUCCGUAGGCAGCAUUUUUAGUUAGAGGUUAAAUCAAAAAGCUUAACUUUUUUCCGCUUCAAAACGUAAAUGCUUUGAGUUUGACAGGAGAUAGCAGAAUUUCACAUGGAGGGGUGAUAUCCAUAGAUAUGUGAAGGAAUACCAGAGGCGAAGGCGGCUAUCUAGGUCAAUACUGACGUUGAGGGACGAAAGCAUGGGGAGCAAACAGGAUUAGAUACCCUGGUAGUCC